AACGAACGCUGGCGGCAUGCCUAACACAUGCAAGUCGAACGAGACCUUCGGGUCUAGUGGCGCACGGGUGCGUAACGCGUGGGAACCUGCCCUUAGGUUCGGAAUAACUCCCCGAAAGGGGUGCUAAUACCGGAUAAUGUCUUCGGACCAAUGAUUUAUCGCCUUUGGAUGGGCCCGCGUUGGAUUAGCUAGUUGGUAGGGUAAAAGCCUACCAAGGCGACGAUCCAUAGCUGGUCUGAGAGGAUGAUCAGCCACACUGGGGCUGAGACACGGCCCAGACUCCUACGGGAGGCAGCAGUGGGGAAUAUUGGACAAUGGGCGAAAGCCUGAUCCAGCAAUGCCGCGUGAGUGAUGAAGGCCUUAGGGUUGUAAAGCUCUUUUACCCGGGAUGAUAAUGACGGUACCGAGAGAAUAAGCUCCGGCUAACUCCGUG
rnacentral:rRNA from 1 species